UAAUACGAAGGGGGCUAGCGUUGCUCGGAAUUACUGGGCGUAAAGGGAGCGUAGGCGGACAUUUAAGUCAGGGGUGAAAUCCCAGAGCUCAACUCUGGAACUGCCUUUGAUACUGGGUGUCUUGAGUGUGAUAGAGGUAAGUGGAACUCCGAGUGUAGAGGUGAAAUUCGUAGAUAUUCGGAAGAACACCAGUGGCGAAGGCGACUUACUGGAUCAUUACUGACGCUGAGGCUCGAAAGCGUGGGGAGCAAACAGG
rnacentral:rRNA from 1 species